UACAGAGGUCUCAAGCGUUGUUCGGAAUCACUGGGCGUAAAGGGUGCGUAGGCGGCGGAGUAAGUCGGGUGUGAAAUUUGAAGGCUCAACCUUCAACUAGCACCUGAUACUGCUUUGCUUGAGGUCUGAAGAGGAGCUUGGAAUUCUCGGUGUAGCAGUGAAAUGCGUAGAUUUCGAGAAGAACGCGCGCAGCGAAAGCGAAGCUCUGGUCAGAUUCUGACGCUGAGGCACGAAGGCUAGGGGAGCAAACGGG
rnacentral:rRNA from 1 species